rnacentral:rRNA from 1 species
CUAAGGCGCUUGAGAGAACUCAGGAGAAGGAACUCGGCAAAAUAGCACCGUAACUUCGGGAAAAGGUGUGCCCAUUGUAUGUGUAGCGCCUCGCGCGUGAAGCAGAAUAGGGUUGCAAUGAAUUGGUGGCUGCGACUGUUUAAUAAAAACAUAGCACUCUGCAAACACGAAAGUGGACGUAUAGAGUGUGACGCCUGCCCGGUGCCGGAAGGUUAAAUGAUGGGGUGCAAGCUCUUGAUUGAAGCCCCGGUAAACGGCGGCCGUAACAAUAACGGUCCUAAGGUAGCGAAAUUCCUUGUCGGGUAAGUUCCGACCUGCACGAAUGGCGUAACGAUGGCCACACUGUCUCAUCCUGGGACUCAGCGAAGUUGAAAUGUUUGUGAAGAUGCAAUCUCCCCGCGGCUAGACGGAAAGACCCCGUGCACCUUUACUGUAGCUUUACAUUGGACUUUGAUAACAUUUGUGUAGGAUAGGUGGGAGGCUUUGAAGUGGAUUCGCUAGAAUUCAUGGAGCCGACGUUGAAAUACCACCCUGAUGUUGUCGGGGUUCUAACCUAGAUCCAUUAUCUGGACUGGGGACCGUGUAUGGUAGGCAGUUUGACUGGGGCGGUCUCCUCCCAAAUUGUAACGGAGGAGUACGAAGGUACGCUAGGUACGGUCGGAAAUCGUGCUGAUAGUGCAAUGGCAAAAGCGUGCUUAACUGCGAGACUGACAAGUCGAGCAGAUGCGAAAGCAGGUCAUAGUGAUCCGGUGGUUCUGUAUGGAAGGGCCAUCGCUCAACGGAUAAAAGGUACGCCGGGGAUAACAGGCUGAUUCCUCCCAAGAGUUCAUAUCGACGGGGGAGUUUGGCACCUCGAUGUCGGCUCAUCACAUCCUGGGGCUGUAGCCGGUCCCAAGGGUAUGGCUGUUCGCCAUUUAAAGUGGUACGUGAGCUGGGUUUAAAACGUCGUGAGACAGUUUGGUCCCUAUCUGCCGUGGGCGUUGGAAGUUUGAGUGGACCUGCUCCUAGUACGAGAGGACCGGAGUGGACGCACCUCUGGUGUACCGGUUAUGACGCCAGUCGUAUCGCCGGGUAGCUAUGUGCGGAAGAGAUAACCGCUGAAAGCAUCUAAGCGGGAAACUCUCCUCAAGAUGAGACUUCCCGAGGGUUUAACCCUCCUAAAGGUUCGUCGAAGACUACGACGUUGAUAGGUCGGGUGUGGAAGCAUAGUAAUAUGUUAAGCUAACCGAUACUAAUUGACCGUGAGGCUUGAUCCG